rnacentral:lncRNA from 1 species
GAAUGGGAAUUAUAUACAUCUGGGCUGAAAAAAAGGAAUCCUUUAAAUUGUUGUUUAGUCUGGCACUUUAUAUUAUGCAGUGGUUCUCAAACAAGAGGGACCCAUUUAGGAGCCCAAGUAAAUUUCUGUAACAUUUCUAUUCAGAUUUUUUUGUGAUUUCAAACAUUUUUCUCAACAGGGCAAUAUUGUUCACCCAUUCUCCCUCUCUUAUCAUCCAUUUGCUAUGCUCAGUUCAUUCAAAGCAGUAGACCACUCAAGAAAACACACCCGGGUACUGAAACGCUGGAUCAAGGAACACCGUAAACAGGAGGUCUCUCCAUUAACCUCCUACGACCUGGCGUCCACAUAUGUGGACAUCACAUUUUUAGUUGUGUGCACCAUAAAACUUAAUUCUGUGUAACUGGAACCUGUUGUACACAAACAUGGACACUUACACUGCCAUCCGGUGGGGUCAGAAGAGAAAAACACUUUACACAGAAAUUCCAAGAUGGCGGCGAACACAUCUGAAAAUUCAGUCAGCCACACCAGACCAAAACGUCCACAAGGUAAAAAAUCUAAUAAAAUUUAAUUGUUGAUUCUUGUUAAGUUAUGCAUAAUGGUGUUGUAUGAUUAAUAUGGCAUGAAAAUUUGACAAAUUUUUGUAACAGUAAAGAUUUACUAUUUCGCUAAACUUGAAGUACACAUAUGUGGACAGUGGGACUUAACUUUGUUGAAAAUGUAAAAAUGUUAGCAAAAAAUUUAACUGUGAAAACAUAGUUUGUGAAGAAUUUGUUAGAAAACAUCAAUUUACAAUAAUUUACAACAGUAUAAAUUGACAUUGCACAUGUGAUAAAUUACUUUACAUUGAUUUUUAGUCUUUGAAAAUGUAAAAAUGUUAGCAAAAAUGUAGUCUGGGAAGAAUUAGUUAGAAAACAUCAUUUUACAAUAGUUUACAACAGUAUAAAUUGACAUUGCAUCUGUGAAAUAACUUUACAUUGAUUUUUAGUCAUUGAAAAUGUAAAAAU